GAGCUUCGUCUUAUGAAGUUAGGGGCGGGCGGGUGAGUAACAUGUGGGUAACCUGCCCGUAGGAGUGGGAUAACUCCGGGAAACCGGGGCUAAUACCGGAUAACAUUUUGAACCGCAUGGUUCGAAAUUGAAAGGCGGCUUCGGCUGUCACUUAUGGAUGGACCCGCGUCGCAUUAGCUAGUUGGUGAGGUAACGGCUCACCAAGGCAACGAUGCGUAGCCGACCUGAGAGGGUGAUCGGCCACACUGGGACUGAGACACGGCCCAGACUCCUACGGGAGGCAGCAGUAGGGAAUCUUCCGCAAUGGACGAAAGUCUGACGGAGCAACGCCGCGUGAGUGAUGAAGGCUUUCGGGUCGUAAAACUCUGUUGUUAGGGAAGAACAAGUGCUAGUUGAAUAAGCUGGCACCUUGACGGUACCUAACCAGAAAGCCACGGCUAACUACGUGCCAGCAGCCGCGGUAAUACGUAGGUGGCAAGCGUUAUCCGGAAUUAUUGGGCGUAAAGCGCGCGCAGGUGGUUUCUUAAGUCUGAUGUGAAAGCCCACGGCUCAACCGUGGAGGGUCAUUGGAAACUGGGAGACUUGAGUGCAGAAGAGGAAAGUGGAAUUCCAUGUGUAGCGGUGAAAUGCGUAGAGAUAUGGAGGAACACCAGUGGCGAAGGCGACUUUCUGGUCUGUAACUGACACUGAGGCGCGAAAGCGUGGGGAGCAAACAGGAUU
rnacentral:rRNA from 1 species